rnacentral:rRNA from 1 species
AGUGAACGCUGGCGGUAGGCCUAACACAUGCAAGUCGAACGGCAGCACAGUAAGAGCUUGCUCUUACGGGUGGCGAGUGGCGGACGGGUGAGGAAUACAUCGGAAUCUACUUUUUCGUGGGGGAUAACGUAGGGAAGCUUACGCUAAUACCGCAUACGACCUACGGGUGAAAGCAGGGGAUCUUCGGACCUUGCGCGAUUGAAUUAGCCGAUGUCGGAUUAGCUAGUUGGCGGGGUAAAGGCCCACCAAGGCGACGAUCCGUAGCUGGUCUGAGAGGAUGAUCAGCCACACUGGAACUGAGACACGGUCCAGACUCCUACGGGAGGCAGCAGUGGGGAAUAUUGGACAAUGGGCGCAAGCCUGAUCCAGCCAUACCGCGUGGGUGAUGAAGGCCUUCGGGUUGUAAAGCCCUUUUGUUGGGAAAGAAAAGCAGCAGGUUAAUACCCCGCUGUUCUGACGGUACCCAAAGAAUAAGCACCGGCUAACUUCGUG